rnacentral:lncRNA from 1 species
UUUAGGACAAUUGGACAACGACUUUUAUUGAAGUUAAAAAGUAAUGGCAAUUGAUACAUUUUUAGAGUUAUGAUAUUUGGGGUGAGCUCUGAUAAUUAGUUGUAGAAGCUUUUUUUAUUUGUUUUUGUAUAGUUUUUUUAAUUAGACUACUAAUAUCACUAAGGUAUAAUAUUACUCAUCAUAAAAUGAGUCAAAUCAUAUUUGUCGAAACGAAACGAGUCAACAUUGUUAUUCGUCGAUUCGCCUGCGAGUGGAACACUCUUGUAGUUGAGUUUGUGAUGACAUGUUAUGGAAAUGAUUGAUGGAAGCAACAUUGAUAUGGAGGGUUGCUUGUAUGUAGUUUAUUUGACUUUGAUUAAAC